CACAGCAACUUCCAGCCUAUCCCAGUUCAGCCCAGCAAGAUUCUGUCUCCAAAAAAAAAAAAAAAAAAAGGGGGGGGGGGGGGGAGGGAGAGGAGUGCAGUCCCUUUGGAACCGGGUUGUGGUGGUGGCUCAAUGGUAGUAUGCAUGCGUGGCUAGAAUGUACACAGUCCUGAGUUUGGUCCCCAGCAUUGAAAAAGACAUAUCCUAGGUUAGGUAACAACCACCCAUUUUGUGUGGGGGAACAUUUGGGUAUUUAGGGUGUCAGGGCAACAUGUGCCUUCUUCCAGAGCUUGCCAAGGAUAGAGUCGGAGCCAGCUGCCAAAGUUCUGGGAGAGAAGGAGAGGAGUGUCUGCAGGUUUCAGGGCCAGACCCUGGUGCAAGCCUGGUCUACUGCAUACACGGAUGGCCAGCAAAGCAUUUCAAGAGUUCGGGCAGGCAAGGUCACUCUGCCAAGGGAAAGCUGAAGAGGGGAUGUUUGAGGUAGUUCUCACAAAGACGAUGAGGAAACAGAUGCGUCCAGAAUGUGAGAAGACAUGAAUUCCACAGGGAACAAGGCCCUGGGAAGAAAGAGGCCUUGGUCAUGAAGAGGUUGCUGAAGGCAAGCAUAAAGCAAGCAUCUGACCUUCACAUGGGGCAGACGCAUACACCUGUAGUCCCGGCUACAUGGCGGGUUGUGGGUGGGGAAUCCCUUGAACCCAGGAAUUCCAAGGCAACAUGGGAAAAGCAAUGAGGCUCUGCCUCUGGCUAAAGAAACACAGGAUCUUUUGUGAGAAGAAACAAAAGAGUGAUGACAGAGAGUUUUGAGCUGGGAGUAUCUUAUUGUACUUCAGUUCUGAAUACUUCCCUGGUCUCCAUCGUGACCUUUGCUGUGCUUUCUCUUUUUGGUUGGUUGGUUUGGUGUGGGUUAGUGAUGGUGGAACUGUAUCGGAGAUGGGGUCUCACCACAUAGCCCCCACUCACCUAGAACCCUCUAUUUAAACCAAGCUGCCUGGAAACUCCCAGAGAUCCACCCUCCUCUGCUUCCCAAAUGCUGUGAGGAAAGGUGUGUGCCACCAUGCCUGGCAUCUUUGUUGACUUGGUUAACCUUUGAAAUUUGUUACUAGAAUAUGAUUUACAUACAUUGAUUUACAUGUUUGACUCUGUAGCCACGAAAUCUUGGCAUGGAAAACACCUCCAAAAAGGUUUGUGUAAGAAGAGGGAAGUGAGGCAGGAGAAUGUAACUCAGUUGAUAGAAACUCAUCUAAUAUUCACAAGGUCCCACAGUUGAUCCCCAAAACUCUAU
rnacentral:lncRNA from 1 species